GUAGGUGGCAAGCGUUGUCCGGAAUUAUUGGGCGUAAAGCGCGCGCAGGCGGUUCGUUUAAGUCUGAUGUGAAAGCCCACGGGCUCAACCGUGGAGGGUCAUUGGAAACUGGAGAACUUGAGUACAGAAGAGGAAAGCGGAAUUCCACGUGUAGCGGUGAAAUGCGUAGAGAUGUGGAGGAACACCAGUGGCGAAGGCGGCUUUCUGGUCUGUAACUGACGCUGAGGCGCGAAAGCGUGGGGAGCAAACAGGAUUAGAUACCCUGGUAGUCCACGCCGUAAACGAUGAGUGCUAAGUGUUAGGGGGUUUCCGCCCCUUAGUGCUGCAGCUAGCGCAUUAAGCACUCCGCCUGGGGAGUACGGCCGCAAGGCUG
rnacentral:rRNA from 1 species